rnacentral:rRNA from 1 species
GGCUUAACACAUGCAAGUCGAGGGGCAGCAUGGUCUUAGCUUGCUAAGGCCGAUGGCGACCGGCGCACGGGUGAGUAACACGUAUCCAACCUGCCGUCUACUCUUGGACAGCCUUCUGAAAGGAAGAUUAAUACAAGAUGGCAUCAUGAGUCCGCAUGUUCACAUGAUUAAAGGUAUUCCGGUAGACGAUGGGGAUGCGUUCCAUUAGAUAGUAGGCGGGGUAACGGCCCACCUAGUCUUCGAUGGAUAGGGGUUCUGAGAGGAAGGUCCCCCACAUUGGAACUGAGACACGGUCCAAACUCCUACGGGAGGCAGCAGUGAGGAAUAUUGGUCAAUGGGCGAGAGCCUGAACCAGCCAAGUAGCGUGAAGGAUGACUGCCCUAUGGGUUGUAAACUUCUUUUAUAAAGGAAUAAAGUCGGGUAUGGAUACCCGUUUGCAUGUACUUUAUGAAUAAGGAUCGGCUAACUCCGUGCCAGCAGCCGCGGUAAUACGGAGGAUCCGAGCGUUAUCCGGAUUUAUUGGGUUUAAAGGGAGCGUAGAUGGAUGUUUAAGUCAGUUGUGAAAGUUUGCGGCUCAACCGUAAAAUUGCAGUUGAUACUGGAUAUCUUGAGUGCAGUUGAGGCAGGCGGAAUUCGUGGUGUAGCGGUGAAAUGCUUAGAUAUCACGAAGAACUCCGAUUGCGAAGGCAGCCUGCUAAGCUGCAACUGACAUUGAGGCUCGAAAGUGUGGGUAUCAAACAGGAUUAGAUACCCUGGUAGUCCACACGGUAAACGAUGAAUACUCGCUGUUUGCGAUAUACUGCAAGCGGCCAAGCGAAAGCGUUAAGUAUUCCACCUGGGGAGUACGCCGGCAACGGUGAAACUCAAAGGAAUUGACGGGGGCCCGCACAAGCGGAGGAACAUGUGGUUUAAUUCGAUGAUACGCGAGGAACCUUACCCGGGCUUAAAUUGCAGAUGAAUUACGGUGAAAGCCGUAAGCCGCAAGGCAUCUGUGAAGGUGCUGCAUGGUUGUCGUCAGCUCGUGCCGUGAGGUGUCGGCUUAAGUGCCAUAACGAGCGCAACCCUUGUUGUCAGUUACUAACAGGUUCCGCUGAGGACUCUGACAAGACUGCCAUCGUAAGAUGUGAGGAAGGUGGGGAUGACGUCAAAUCAGCACGGCCCUUACGUCCGGGGCUACACACGUGUUACAAUGGGGGGUACAGAGGGCCGCUACCACGCGAGUGGAUGCCAAUCCCCAAAACCUCUCUCAGUUCGGACUGGAGUCUGCAACCCGACUCCACGAAGCUGGAUUCGCUAGUAAUCGCGCAUCAGCCACGGCGCGGUGAAUACGUUCCCGGGCCUUGUACACACCGCCCGUCAAGCCAUGGGAGCCGGGGGUACCUGAAGUGCGUAACCGCGAGGAGCGCCCUAGGGUAAAACUGGUGACUGGGGCUAAGUCGU